UGUUUCAGGGGACAUGUCUAAAGUCCACGCAUAUUGGAGAGAAGAGGCAGUCCUUGCGAGGCGUCUGACAGCACGUUCAAGUUCCAGCAGCAGCUCCGAUAGCAGCUCCGAUACUACCCCAGCUCCUACCACAGCUCCUACCCCAGCUCCUGGCGGAGGUUAAGACUGACGGAUUGGCAUUCCACCAUGAAAACGUCCAGAUCUAUGCAAUCAAUAAAGCAUGCUUUGUAAAAUCAG